rnacentral:rRNA from 1 species
AUUGAACGCUGGCGGCAGGCCUAACACAUGCAAGUCGAGCGAGCGGCGGACGGGUGAGUAAUGUCUGGGAAUCUGCCUGAUGGAGGGGGAUAACUACUGGAAACGGUAGCUAAUACCGCAUACCAUCAGAUGUACCCAGAUGGGCUUAGCUAGUAGGUGGGGUAAAGGCUCACCUAGGCGACGAUCCCUAGCUGGUCUGAGAGGAUGACCAGCCACACUGGGACUGAGGCACGGUCCAGACUCCGACGGGAGGAAGCAGUGGGGAAGAUUGCACAAUGGGCGCAAGCCUGAUGCAGCCAUGCCGCGUGUGUGAAGAAGGCCUUAGGGUUGUAAAGGACUUUCAGCGGGGAGGCGUUACUCGCAGAAGAAGCGCCGGCUAACUCCGUGCCAGCAGCAGCGGUAAUUC